rnacentral:misc_RNA from 1 species
GUUUGUGAGAUGACGCAAUGGGUGGUAUUUUGUAUUCUGACAAUGACAAUUGAAGAAGAGGAAGAUACCAUUUGCUGCUAACAAAAGUUAUCUUCUUCUGUUUUCUUUUUUUGCAUGCUAAGAUUAGAUGGAUGGUGACUAAACAGUACCCCAUAUCCCUACGGCGUGAUCUAGCCGUCCAAUCAAUCAUGAUCGUUCAAUCGCUUGCU